AACUAACGCUGGCGGCAGGCUUAACACAUGCAAGUCGAACGCCCCGCAAGGGGAGUGGCCGCCGGGUGAGUACCGCGUGGGAACAUACCCUUUUCUACGGAAUAGCUCUGGGAAACUGGAAUUAAUACCGGAUACGCCCUACGGGGGAAAGGUUUAUCGGGGAAGGAUUGGCCCGCGUUGGAUUAGCUAGUUGGUGGGGUAAAGGCCUACCAAGGCGACGAUCCAUAGCUGGUCUGAGAGGAUGAUCAGCCACAUUGGGACUGGGACACGGCCCAAACUCCUACGGGAGGCAGCAGUGGGGAAUAUUGGCCAAUGGGCGCAAGCCUGAUCCAGCCAUGCCGCGUGAGUGAUGAAGGCCUUAGGGUUGUAAAGCUCUUUCACCGAUGAAGAUAAUGACGGUAGUCGGAGAAGAAGCCCCGGCUAACUUCGUG
rnacentral:rRNA from 1 species